AUACGUAGGGUGCGAGCGUUGUCCGGAAUUACUGGGCGUAAAGAGCUCGUAGGUGGUUUGUCGCGUCGUCUGUGAAAUUCCGGGGCUUAACUCCGGGCGUGCAGGCGAUACGGGCAUAACUUGAGUACUGUAGGGGAGACUCGAAUUCCUGGUGUAGCGGUGAAAUACGCAGAUAUCAGGAGGAACACCGGUGGCGAAGGCGGGUCUCUGGGCAGUAACUGACGCUGAGGAGCGAAAGCAUGGGUAGCGAACAGGAUUAGAUACCCUGGUAGUCCAUGCCGUAAACGGUGGGCGCUAGGUGUAGGGGUCUUCCACGACUUCUGUGCCGUAGCUAACGCAUUAAGCGCCCCGCCUGGGGAGUACGGCCGCAAGGCUAAAACUCAAAUGAAUUGACGGGG
rnacentral:rRNA from 1 species